GUUGUUGAUGUGUUAACUCACUUCUUAUCCAACACAAAUGUUCCUUCAUUUAUCAACAGUACUAACAGACAAAUAAAAUAGAUAACUUAUGUCUAGUUACUGAGCAAAUAAAUCACAGAGGAAACUUGAAUCUUGUCUGGAUGUUACAGGGUCAGAUGAGCACAAGUGUUUAUCCGGUGGAGAGAGGCUGAUGAAGGAAUCCUGCCAUCAAAGGCUUUGAGGAUGAUCAAUGUGGAGUAACCUGGAGUAAAGUGUCUUGCUCAAGGACGGUGAUGGCUGCGGAGAUCAAAUCAAUAACCUUCUGCUUACCAGUUCAGUGGUUUAGCCCACCACACCACAAAAGUGACUACUCAUGGAGUAUGCUCAUGGAGAGCAGGCACACAAAUGUUUGGAACAGACACAGCGGCAGCCAGAUUGUCCCGCACAUCUUCUCCCACUCUUGCUUCGAGGUAAUGGGGUUCAGGGGGCAUCACCAUAGUCUUCCUCAUCCUCUGGAUCAACUAUGUCCCCAUUGAGAAGAGCAGCAGUGAUGGAUGGAUGGCAAAGACAGGCGAAGGUGUUCACGGUGGUCAGAUGCUUAAAUACUAUAAAUAGGUGAUUGUUAGAACAAUAAGUUUGAAUAAAGCUUUGUUUCAUGUGUUGUUGACUUGUAUUGUGAUGGUUACUUUUAUUCAUUCUUUAACUCAUUUAUGUUUCCUAUUGCUGUCAGUAAAUAAAAUAUAAUUAUUUUAUUAA